rnacentral:rRNA from 1 species
UGCAGUUAAAAAGCUCGUAGUUGGAUUUCGGAACCGGCCGAUUGGUCCGUCCUCUGGAUCGUGUACUGAUCGGUCUGUUCUUCUUCGCGAAGACCGCGUGUGCUCUUAACUGAGUGGGCGUGGGAUUCGCGACGUUUACUUUGAAAAAAUUAGAGUGUUCAAAGCAGGCAGUCGCUUGAAUAUCUCAGCAUGGAAUAAUAGAAUAGGACUUUGGUCUUAUUUUGUUGGUUUCCGAGACCGAAGUAAUGAUUAAUAGGGACAGUUGGGGGCAUUCGUAUUUCAUUGUCAGAGGUGAAAUUCUUGGAUUUAUGAAAGACGAACUUCUGCGAAAGCAUUUGCCAAGGAUGUUUUCAUUAAUCAAGAACGAAAGUUGGAGGCUCGAAGACGAUCAGAUACCGUCCUAGUUCCAACCAUAAACGAUGCCGUCUGCGGAUCGGAGGUCGCUCAUGUAAGGCUCCUUCGGCACGCUAUGAGAAAUCAAAGACUUCGGGUUCCGGGGGGGGUAUGUUCGCAAGAAUGAAACUUAAAGGAAUUGACGGAAGGGCACCACCAGGAGUGGAACCUGCGGUUUAAUUUGACUCAACACGGGAAAAACUCACCA